CCCUUAGAUGUUCGGGGCCGCACGCGCGCUACAAUGAGUCGAUCAACGUGCGUAUAUUUCCAAGGCCGAAAGGUCGAGGUAAUCCGUUGAACCCGACUCGUGCUAGGGAUAGGGACUUGUAAUUGUUUCCCUUGAACGAGGAAUUCCCAGUAAGCGCAAGUCAUCAGCUUGCGUUGAUUACGUCCCUGCCCUUUGUACACACCGCCCGUCGCUACUACCGAUUGAAUGAUCCGAUGAAUAUCAUGGAUUGAGGAUGCAAGUAGGUUCGCCUAUCUUCAUCUUCGAGAAGUGAAGUAAAUCUUAUCAUUUAGAGGAAGGAGAAGUCGUAACA
rnacentral:rRNA from 1 species